rnacentral:rRNA from 1 species
AACGAACGCUGGCGGCAUGCCUAACACAUGCGAGUCGAACGAUGCCUUCGGGCAUAGUGGCGCACGGGUGCGUAACGCGUGGGAAUCUGCCUUUCGGUUCGGAAUAACUCAGGGAAACUUGAGCUAAUACCGGAUAACGUCGCAAGACCAAAGAUUUAUCACCGAAAGAUGAGCCCGCGUAGGAUUAGCUAGUUGGUGAGGUAACGGCUCACCAAGGCGACGAUCCUUAGCUGGUCUGAGAGGAUGAUCAGCCACACUGGGACUGAGACACGGCCCAGACUCCUACGGGAGGCAGCAGUGGGGAAUAUUGGACAAUGGGCGAAAGCCUGAUCCAGCAAUGCCGCGUGAGUGAUGAAGGCCUUAGGGUUGUAAAGCUCUUUUACCCGGGAAGAUAAUGACGGUACCGGGAGAAUAAGCCCCGGCUAACUCCGUG